rnacentral:rRNA from 1 species
GACGAACCGUGCGAACGUUGUUCGGAAUCACUGGGCUUAAAGGGCGCGUAGGCGGGCUGCCAAGUCCGUGGUGAAAUCCUCCGGCCCAACCGGAGAACGGCCUCGGAUACUGGCGGCCUGGAGGGGGGUAGGGGCGAGCGGAACUGUGGGUGGAGCGGUGAAAUGCGUUGAUAUCCACAGGAACUCCGGUGGCGAAGGCGGCUCGCUGGACCCCACCUGACGCUGAGGCGCGAAAGCCAGGGGAGCGAACGGG